UGUCGGGUAAGUUCCGACCUGCACGAAUGGCGUAACGAUGGCCACACUGUCUCCACCAGAGACUCAGUGAAAUUGAAAUUGCGGUUAAGAUGCCGUAUACCCGCGGCUAGACGGAAAGACCCCGUGAACCUUUACUAUAGCUUCACAUUGGUAUUGGGUAAUUCAUGUGUAGGAUAGGUGGGAGACUUUGAAGCAUGAUCGCUAGAUCUUGUGGAGUCGUCCUUGAAAUACCACCCUUCCUAUACUUAGAUUCUAACUCUGUAAAGAGGACAUUGUGUGGUGGGUAGUUUGACUGGGGUGGUCGCCUCC
rnacentral:rRNA from 1 species